CAAUAGCGUAUAUUAAAGUUGUUGCAGUUAAAAAGCUCGUAGUUGAAUUUCGGGUCCCCGCGCUCGGCGCUUCAUUGUGCCGUCGUGGUGUCCCUCCUCGCCGUAAGGCGUCCUUUACUGUGAAAAAAUUAGAGUGUUCAAAGCAGGCAAUCGCUUGAAUACAUUAGCACGGAAUAAUAAGAUAGGAUCUUGUCUAUUUUGUUGGUUGCGGACAACGAUAAUGAUUAAUAGGGAUAGUUGGGGGUGUCCGUAUUGAGCUGUCAGAGGUGAAAUUCUUGGAUUUGCUCAAGACGAACUACUGCGAAAGCAUUCACCAAGGAUGUUUUCAUUAA
rnacentral:rRNA from 1 species